AUUGAACGCUGGCGGCAUGCCUUACACAUGCAAGUCGAACGGUAACAGGUCUUCGGAUGCUGACGAGUGGCGAACGGGUGAGUAAUACAUCGGAACGUGCCUAGUAGUGGGGGAUAACUACUCGAAAGAGUGGCUAAUACCGCAUGAGAUCUACGGAUGAAAGCAGGGGAUCGCAGGACCUUGUGCUACUAGAGCGGCCGAUGGCAGAUUAGGUAGUUGGUGGGAUAAAAGCUUACCAAGCCGACGAUCUGUAGCUGGUCUGAGAGGAAGACCAGCAACACUGGGACUGAGACACGGCCCAGACUCAUACGGGAGGCAGCAGUGGGGAAUUUUGGACAAUGGGCGCAAGCCUGAUCCAGCAAUGCCGCGUGCAGGAUGGAGGCCUUCGGGUUGUAAACUGCUUUUGUACGGAACGAAAAGCCCUGGGUUAAUACCCUGGGGUCAUGACGGUACCGUAAGAAUAAGCACCGGCUAACUACGUGCCAGCCGCCGCCGUAAAAC
rnacentral:rRNA from 1 species